UACACUGAAAAAACGGGAAAAGUGGGGUUGUUCAAUUUACAAAUAGUAAACAUGUUUGUUUAAUAUGAACAAAUUAUGUUUACCUUCGAAACAUAAUAUAAUCUUGAAAAUCACACAUCAUUUCUUGCUGUGUUACUUUUAUAUAUUUAAAUCAUGUUGACAAAACAUGAAAUAGUUAUGCUUGAUCCUUUGCCCCUUAAUUUUGGAUAAGUAAACCCCAUCGGUGAAGAAGAAUUCCAGGAGGGGAAACUUUGCAGUCAGCCAUUUUAGAGAAGCUACAAGCACCUGCUCUGGCUGGAGGAACUUAAAAAAGAGCUCAUCACACAACACUUCCAACUGCUCCUCCCUGAUCAUGCUGGGGUCCAUGCUCCAGUCUUCACUGAGUCAGACUGCUGAACUUCUCGCCAAUAUAAGCAAGUUCAGGGGUUUAUUCAAAGUACAGAAUGAAGACCAUGCAGCAAUCCAGGAGGCAAUCGAGGACACCACGGUGGGAACUGGCAGUGGUGAGGAAGAGGACAUUCUCGUGGUCCACAUCUCCCAGGCUGUGGUGGUCGACCCACCAAGUGUCUGAGUGGCAGUUGCCAAGGCUUUUUUGGCCUUAUUUACAGCACAAAUCUGAUUACCAUCCUCAUCUCAGAAACACCUUGUCAUGGGGCCCGUGACUUUGCUCCUGCUAUGAUCUCCUGGAGGCCCUUCCCUUCUUGAGCUCUCCUGCUGGUCACAGGUGUUCUGUAUUAUGUUGAUUGGUUUGUCUAUUUAUGCAGUGUCUGAUCUUGUUUCUGUGUCGGAGCGUCUUCGUUCUACGCUCUGGUGUUAUGGUUCUCUGGCAUUAAAGCCCCUUCGAGUGAACUAUUGGAUUUGGGUCGUUCUUCCUGCUCUUGGGUUCUCUCCCUUGGACAUUCCGUCACACAACUUUGAGGUAAUCCAAAAAAAACUGUAUUAGAGUUGUAAGGCAAAGUGGUGUCUAAGGUUUCAGGCUUAAAAAUCCGACUCUUUGACUAAAAUGACCUUUAAAUAGUUUAACUUUUUCCUAAGAAGGGAUUCCAGCUGUUUGCUUUGGCUCUGUUAUCUUCUGUUUAAUAAAAAUAGCAAGCCCAA